GAUCAUGGUCAGGAUGAACGCUAGCUACAGGCUUAACACAUGCAAGUCGAGGGGAAACGACAUCGAAAGCUUGCUUUUGAUGGGCGUCGACCGGCGCACGGGUGAGUAACGCGUAUCCAACCUGCCCAUCACUUGGGAAUAACCUUGCGAAAGUAGACUAAUGCCCAAUGAUAUCUCUAGAAGACAUCUGAAAGAGAUUAAAGNUUCAUCGGUGAUGGAUGGGGAUGCG
rnacentral:rRNA from 1 species